rnacentral:rRNA from 1 species
CCAGACUCCUACGGGAGGCAGCAGUGGGGAAUAUUGGGCAAUGGGCGCAAGCCUGACCCAGCAACGCCGCGUGAAGGAAGAAGGCCCUCGGGUUGUAAACUUCUUUUGUCAGGGACGAAGAAAGUGACGGUACCUGACGAAUAAGCCACGGCUAACUACGUGCCAGCAGCCGCGGUAAUACGUAGGUGGCAAGCGUUAUCUGGAUUUACUGGGUGUAAAGGGCGUGUAGCCGGGUUGACAGGUCAGAUGUGAAAUCCUGCGGCUUAACCGCAGAACUGCAUUUGAAACUGUUGAUCUUGAGUACUGGAGAGGCAGACGGAAUUCCUAGUGUAGCGGUGAAAUGCGUAGAUAUUAGGAGGAACACCAGUGGCGAAGGCGGUCUGCUGGACAGCAACUGACGGUGAGGCGCGAAAGCGUGGGGUGCAAACAGGAUUAGAUACCCUAGUAAA